UGAAUACAAAGUCUGCAAUAAAAGAGGAUGUGAUUAAUGUUCUGUUUAGGGUCACCACAAGGGUCACCACGCAGAUUUAUUAAAACUGGAAAAGAUCGUGUAUGCAAAGAGGACCAUUGUGGAGUGGUUUAUAAGAUAAAUUGUCUGGAUUGUGAGUCUUCUUAUGUUGGCCAAACAAAAAGGAAAUUAAAAACUCGAAAGAACAUAAGAUUGACAUAAAAAGAUCCUCUGAGAUGUCAGUGAUUUCACGCCACCAAGUGAAUGAGAUGCACGAAUUGGAUUGGGAUAAUAUUAGAAUUUUAGAUA